UACGUAGGGGGCAAGCGUUGUCCGGAUUUACUGGGCGUAAAGGGCUCGUAGGCGGCCCACUCAGUCAGAUGUGAAAUCCCCAGGCUCAACCUGGGAACUGCAUCUGAUACUGGUUGGCUUGAGUGCAGGAGAGGAACGCGGAAUUCCAGGUGUAGCGGUGAAAUGCGUAGAUAUCGGAAGGAACAUCAGUGGCGAAAGCGACUUCCUGGACCAAUACUGACGCUCAUGUGCGAAAGCGUGGGGAGCAAACAGG
rnacentral:rRNA from 1 species